ACUCCUACGGGAGGCAGCAGUGGGGAAUAUUGCACAAUGGGCGCAAGCCUGAUGCAGCCAUGCCGCGUGUAUGAAGAAGGCCUUCGGGUUGUAAAGUACUUUCAGUCAGUGAGGAAGGAGUGGGUAUGUUAAUAGCAUAUUCAUUUGACGUUAGCUGCAGAAGAAGCACCGGCUAACUCCGUGCCAGCAGCCGCGGUAAUACGGAGGGUGCGAGCGUUAAUCGGAAUUACUGGGCGUAAAGCGCAUGCAGGUGGUUUGUUAAGUCAGAUGUGAAAGCCCGGGGCUCAACCUCGGAAUUGCAUUUGAAACUGGCAAACUAGAGUACUGUAGAGGGGGGUAGAAUUUCAGGUGUAGCGGUGAAAUGCGUAGAGAUCUGAAGGAAUACCGGUGGCGAAGGCGGCCCCCUGGACAGAUACUGACACUCAGAUGCGAAAGCGUGGGGAGCAAACAGGAUUAGAUACCCUGGUAGCUACGAGU
rnacentral:rRNA from 1 species